GACGGGGGAUGCGAGCGUUAUCCGGAAUGAUUGGGCGUAAAGGGUCCGCAGGUGGCCCGGUCAGUCCGCUGUCAAAGCCUGGGGCUCAACCCUGGAGAGGCGGCGGAGACCACCGGGCUUGAGUCCGGUAGGGGCAGAGGGAAUUCCCGGUGGAGCGGUGAAAUGCGUAGAGAUCGUAAGGAAGGCCAGUGGCGAAGGCGAGUUCCUGGACAGUUACUGACGCUGAGGCACGAAGGCCAGGGGAGCAAACGGG
rnacentral:rRNA from 1 species